UACGUAGGGCGCGAGCGUUGUCCGGAUUUAUUGGGCGUAAAGAGCUCGUAGGCGGCUUGUCGCGUCGACUGUGAAAUCCCGCGGCUCAACCGCGGGUCUGCAGUCGAUACGGGCAGGCGUAGAGUUCGGUAGGGGAGACUGGAAUUCCUGGUGUAGCGGUGAAAUGCGCAGAUAUCAGGAGGGAACACCGGUGGCGAAGGCGGGUCUCUGGGCCGGCCCCUGACGCUGAGGCGGCGAAGGCGUGGGGGAGCGAACGGG
rnacentral:rRNA from 1 species